ensembl:lncRNA
GUAGCCUAGUGGUUCGAGCCAGGUAGCCUAGUGGUUAGAGCAGGUAGCCUAGUGGUUAGUGGUUAGAGCAGGUAGCCUAGUGGUUAGAGCAGGUAGCCUAGUGGUUAGAGCAGGUAGCCUAGUGGUUAGAGCAGGUAGCCUAGUGGUUAGAGAAGGUAGCCUAGUGGUUAGAGAAGGUAGCCUAGUGAUUAGAGCAGGUAGCCUAGUGGUUAGAGAAGGUAGCCUAGUGGUUAGAGCAGGUAGCCUAGUGGUUAGAGAAGGUAGCCUAGUGGUUAGAGAAGGUAGCCUAGUGGUUAGAGCAGGUAGCCUAGUGGUUAGAGAAGGUAGCCUAGUGGUUAGAGAAGGUAGCCUAGUGGUUAGAGCAGGUAGCCUAGUGGUUAGAGAAGGUAGCCUAGUGGUUAGAGAAGGUAGCCUAAUGGUUAGAGAAGGUAGCCUAGUGGUUAGAGCAGGUAGCCUAGUGGUUCGAGCCAGGUAGCCUAGUGGUUAGAGCAGGUAGCCUAGUGGUUAGUGGUUAGAGCAGGUAGCCUAGUGGUUAGAGCAGGUAGCCUAGUGGUUAGAGCAG